rnacentral:lncRNA from 1 species
GGCAACCAUAGCUAAUGGUAAGGAUUUCUCCUACAACUUUGGUCGAGCGAUGGUUAAGUUGGGAGCUGUCCAAGUCCUCACUGGAAAUCAAGGAGAGAUCAGGAGAGAUUGUCGAUCAGUUAACAAUCCAUCUAACAGCAGUUCUAAUUCCAACAUUGAAGAAUAAGCAUGAUCAUAUUAAUGCUAUUUGCAGUCUCAUGUUUUCCUUUCCUUUUGUUUAUGUCAUUCAUGUAUUCGUUUUUAUUCUAUGUUUUUAUUCACAUUCCUUUUGAGUACAGAGAGAUUCAGCGUUUGUAUUUAUUAUUUUUUAUCCACUUGUAAGACAUUUUGCAGAAUAAUAAUCAUGGAUUAUAAGUCUUAAACCAAGAUGAUAAAAUUGAAGCUUCUCAGUUUUCUACACUAUGAGGUUGAUUAUCUUAUUGGAAAAGCACUUCUUCCUUGUUAAUGAAAAUCAAUAUGAAAACAAAAUAAUACUUAUGCUUCAGCACAUGUUAUGCAAAUUGAAAAAUAAAAUAUUACAGGCAUUGAAUCUUAUUCUUUCACUAAGAGCUAAAAGAAAACUAAAAGAAUCAUUUCAAUCUAAGCCUUAGUUGCAAGACCUGCCUUGAUCUUCUGUUUUGAAAGACUUGGCAAGGAUUCCAUCAUCAAUCCCACUAGCAAAGACGGUAGCCGGAACUGAAAGAGUUCCAACAUUGGCACUGCCAAAAACAGAGAGGGCACUUGCAGGAUUCUUAGGAUCUGCAUUCUACUGAUAAUCUCAUCUAUCCUUCAUUUGACUGCAGAUUCUGAUUUCUCACUUUCUUUUUGUCUUUUUUUUUUGGAAAAAUCUUUAUUGCCAAAAGAGCCAAACUGUACAAUACAACCCAUCUAUUAUUUAUAUACAAUUUUUAAGCAAAUCAACCUCCCUGAAAUCAACUUCCCUCACUCAAUCUGUCGGUAUGAGAAAACAAAUAAAGCUAACCAGCAAACCCAGCUACAAUUCAGCUAACCAGCAAACUCAGUUACCAAUCAUUUUUAACCAUCAUUUCAGAGUAUCCAAAGCAGACCCACAUAGCACACAUGAUUCACAGUAUCAUCUAGUGACUUUAAUACCAUAAACCUCCAAUCAUUCAACAACACACAUAACCAACCAUUCAACAACACGCAUAACCAACCAUUUAACCAGUUUAGUUUUAAUAGCUAACCUGUUUAGAAUAGUCAUCCAUACAAUACACCGUAUGCCUAUCCCAGGCCAGCUUCCACCGAUUAACUUUACUAGUUUUUUUCCUCGGCACCUCCCAGACACUUGCAUUGUAUACUUGCCAGAGUUAGUUAAUCUCUAUUCGAUUUUAUCCUCACGUUCCCCCACACUUUAUGUCUCUUCGCCUCAUUUCAUGCUUGCCAGCUCAGCCUUUGGGUUGUUUAGUCUCCAAUGCCCAACUCUUUA